UAGUGCUAGGUGGGGAGCUUGCGGUGCCCUGUAUCUGAAACCCGCAAUAUGCAGAGCCGAAUGCCAUUCGAGGUGUCCCUACUUCUUUAUAGUGGGUAUAUGUUAAAAUGUUGAUUAUAAGGUCUUGUGCAAUAUCAUGCUAUGAACCAUGUCAGGUCCGGAAGGAAGCAGCAUUAAGUAGAUUGUUGGUAUGUGCCACAAGGUAGCUUUAUAGGAGUGGAAACUAUAUGUGCUAUACUGCAAGUACCAUCGACAAUGGAUGCACUA
rnacentral:SRP_RNA from 1 species